rnacentral:tRNA from 2 species
GGGGGUAUAGCUCAGCGGUAGAGCAUUUGACUGCAGAUCAAGAGGUCCCCGGUUCAAAUCCGGGUACCCCCU